rnacentral:ncRNA from 2 species
UGAGCCGAUGGGGAUGGGGUUCCCCCGAAACCGCCCUUGAAGGGCUGAUGACUCCUGCCGAGCC